GUUGAACGCUGGCGGCGGGCCUAACACAUGCAAGUCGAGCGGAUGGACGGAGCUUUUUCCUGGAUUCCGCGGCGGGCGGGUGGGUGAUGCCCAGGAGUCUGCCUGGUAGUGGGGGCUAACGUCAGGAAGCGGGCGCUAAUACCGCAUCCGACAAGAGUGUGAAACGGGGGGUUCUUCGGACCUCUCCCUCUCUGAUGUGACUAGGCCGGAGUAGCUAGCUGGUGGGGUAAAGGCCUACCAAGACGGCGAUCCGUGACUAAGCUGAGAGGCUGACCGGCCACACUGGAACUGAGACACGGUCCAGAGUCCUACGGGAGGCAGCAGUAGGGAAUAGUGGACAAUGGGCGAAAGCCUGACGCAGCCAUGCCGCGUGUGUGAAGAAGGUCUUCGGAUCGUAAAGCACUUUUAGUUGGGAAGAACGGCAGUAAGUUUAUACGUUGCUGUUUUGACGGUACCAACACAAAAAGCACCGGCUAACUACGUG
rnacentral:rRNA from 1 species